rnacentral:rRNA from 1 species
CCUACGGGAGGCAGCAGUGGGGAAUAUUGCACAAUGGGGGAAACUCUGAUGCAGCGACGCCGCGUGAGUGAAGAAGUAUUUCGGUACGUAAAGCUCUAUCAGCAGGGAAGAAAAUGACGGUACCUGACUAAGAAUACGCGGCUAACUACGUGCCAGCAGCCGCGGUAAUACGUAGGGGGAAAGCGUUGUCCGGAUUUACUGGGGGUAAAGGUAGCGUAGACGGCAGCGCAAGUCUGGAGUGAAACCCCAUGGCUUAACCAUGGAACUGCUGUUGAAACUGUGGAGCUAGAGUGCAGGAGAGGUAAGCGGAAUUCCUAGUGUAGCGGUGAAAUGCGUAGAUAUUAGGAGGAACACCAGUGGCGAAGGCGGCUUACUGGACUGUAACUGACGUUGAGGCUCGAAAGCGUGGGGAGCAAACAGGAUUAGAUACCCGAGUAGUC